GUAAAUAUCACUUAACACUCUUAACUGCUAUGAAAUGCAGGUCAUGUUAGAUACAACAUUAUUCUUUAUUUUGUAUAGCCAUUUUCAAUCAUUUUCUCAAGUGAGUCUUUUAAAUUGAAAAGCAGGGGAGGGUUUCUCCAAAAAGUUGAUUUCUCUUCCGGGAGGUAUCUUUAAGCAACAGUUAGAUGUUGUACAGCCGUCCAAGAUUGCUCUGGUUCAAGCUGCACUGUUCCA
rnacentral:misc_RNA from 1 species